AUCAACUGGAGGACCGAACCCACUAACGUUGCAAAGUUAGGGGAUGACCUGUGGCUGGGGGUGAAAGGCCAAUCAAACCCGGAGAUAGCUGGUUCUCCCCGAAAGCUAUUUAGGUAGCGCCUCGGACGAAUACUACUGGGGGUAGAGCACUGUUAAGGCUAGGGGGUCAUCCCGACUUACCAACCCUUUGCAAACUCCGAAUACCAGUAAGUACUAUCCGGGAGACACACGGCGGGUGCUAACGUCCGUCGUGGAGAGGGAAACAACCCAGACCGCCAGCUAAGGUCCCAAAUUACAGCUAAGUGGGAAACGAUGUGGGAAGGCUCAGACAGCCAGGAAGUUGGCUUAGAAGCAGCCAUCCUUUAAAGAAAGCGUAAUAGCUCACUGGUCGAGUCGGCCUGCGCGGAAGAUGUAACGGGGCUAAGUAGUAAACCGAAGCUGCGGCAAUAUCCUUUGGAUAUUGGGUAGGGGAGCGUUCUGUAAGCCGUUGAAGGUGUGCUGUAAGGGAUGCUGGAGGUAUCAGAAGUGCGAAUGCUGACAUGAGUAACGAUAAAGGGGGUGAAAAACCUCCUCGCCGGAAGACCAAGGGUUCCUGUCCAACGUUAAUCGGGGCAGGGUGAGUCGACCCCUAAGGCGAGGCCGAAAGGCGUAGUCGAUGGGAAACGGGUUAAUAUUCCCGUACUUCUUACAAUUGCGAUGGGGGGACGGAGAAGGCUAGGUGGGCCUGGCGACGGUUGUCCAGGUUCAAGUAUGUAGGCGGAAAGUUUAGGUAAAUCCGGACUUUCUUAACGCUGAGAUACGAUGUCGAGCACCUACGGGUGUGAAGUCAUUGAUGCCAUGCUUCCAGGAAAAGCCUCUAAGCUUCAGAUUGUAAGGAAUCGUACCCCAAACCGACACAGGUGGUCGGGUAGAGAAUACCAAGGCGCUUGAGAGAACUCGGGUGAAGGAACUAGGCAAAAUGGUACCGUAACUUCGGGAGAAGGUACGCUCUUAUCAGUGAAGUCCCUUGCGGAUGGAGCAGACGAGAGUCGCAGAUACCAGGUGGCUGCAACUGUUUAUUAAAAACACAGCACUGUGCAAAAUCGUAAGAUGACGUAUACGGUGUGACGCCUGCCCGGUGCCGGAAGGUUAAUUGAUGGGGUUAGCGGUAACGCGAAGCUCUUGAUCGAAGCCCCGGUAAACGGCGGCCGUAACUAUAACGGUCCUAAGGUAGCGAAAUUCCUUGUCGGGUAAGUUCCGACCUGCACGAAUGG
rnacentral:rRNA from 1 species